rnacentral:tRNA from 1 species
CAAAAUAUAGCUUAAAUCAAAGCAUUCAGCUUACACCUGAAAGAAUGUCCUCUAAAACAAGACUAUUUUGA